UGAGGAAUAUUGGUCAAUGGGCGGGAGCCUGAACCAGCCAAGCCGCGUGAGGGAAGAAGGCCCUAUGGGUCGUAAACCUCUUUUGUCAGGGAACAAAAGCGAGUAUGUAUACUGGUCUGAGUGUACCUGAAGAAAAAGCAUCGGCUAACUCCGUGCCAGCAGCCGCGGUAAUACGGAGGAUGCGAGCGUUAUCCGGAUUUAUCGGGUUUAAAGGGUGCGUAGGCGGCGGUGCAAGUCAGCGGUAAAAGCCCGGGGGCUCAACCCCGGCGAGCCGUUGAAACUGCAGUGCUAGAGAAGGCGAGAGGUACGCGGAGUGCGCAGUGUAGCGGUGAAAUGCUUAGAUAUUGCGCAGAACUCCGAUUGCGAAGGCAGCGUACUGGCGCCUGACUGACGCUGAGGCACGAAAGCGUGGGGAUCGAACAGGAUUAGAUACC
rnacentral:rRNA from 1 species